rnacentral:sRNA from 1 species
GAGGUCCAGCCGCGCUGGUGCGUGCUGUGCGCGGCUGCCAUUUUGGAGUCGGGCAGCUGCGACAGCGGCCGGGUUCGGCCGAAGAGGGAGGAGCCAGUCAGGCUCUCAGCUGCCACGAAGAUGACUCAUACACGAGGGGAGGGGUGUUGUCGCUCCCUCUCUUCGCUUGCAUUUUAUGUGGAUGGCCCCGCCAUUUCGAUGGCUGCAAGGACAGAGAAGUAUAUCGGGGGAUUGUGAUACCGGCGAGACACCUCAGCUGGCCCUUUAGAACCGUGGUUACCACUCAUAAGCUACUGACAUAUUGCUUUCCAGUGCUUAGACAAAAAGACUUGCUCUUCCCGUUUACUUCAUGGUUCGAAUACAGUCUGCUCCCCCAGGGAAUCUACGGAAAGUGGUCCUUUUAUCAGCGAUAUCCAUAUAGGGUCACUUUUUAGUCAUGAUUGUUUGAAACAGCCUGACUGUAUAGCCUAGGAUGCUCUGGAGCUCAAUGUGGAGCCCAAGCUGGCCACAAGAUAGUGGUGCUCCUACUUCAGCCUGCUGAAUAGUAAGAUUUUUUUUUUUUUUUACCACUUUUAGUCUUUAAUGCCUUGCAGUGGGAACUGCAGACUACAUUUUUCUUGAAGGCUUUUCUUAGACUCUUCUCGGCCCCCACCUUAACAUUGUACACCCUCGGAUUGCUUUUUCAGUUGUUUUUAAGUGUUUGUUCUUUAUUGGCUCCUUGAGAGGCUCGGGGUCUGGCCCUCAGCCCUUUUCUCUGGUUCUGUAUAUGGGCUGAUCUAGCCAUUCAGAUAGAAUCACAGAUGAACGUCCGGUCAUUGAAGGCCAGAUCUGAAUUUCUAAGCAGCUUCUAGCCGCUUCACUUGUCUACUGGAGUAAGUUCCCCAUUGGAACACACACCUGAACUUCACCAAGCCUGCUCCUCCUCUGUUCCUCGUACCACUUCACAUUAACUCUCUCCCAGGAGCUCCUGGGACCAGAGAGCAAGCCUCUGUCCACUUUCUUACUGCUCCAGCAUCUCUCUCUCUCUCUUUGCUAUAGUUUGGAUCUGGGAUGUUCUUCACAGGCCUAUGAAUUACUCUUGGUCCUUGGCAUGAAGGUGGUGGGACCUUUAAAAGACAGAGAGGCUAGUGGACAGAGAAACUUUAGGUCAGAGUAUGUGAGUGUGUGUAUGUGAGUGUGUGUGUGUGUUGGGGGGAUUAGAGUGGGUUGUGAGAUCCUCAUCACUGCUUCACCUCCUAUCCAGGAUGUGAGCAGUUUUGUUCUGCAGUGCACCCCUGCCCUCCUCUCAUUAGCUACAGCUGUUCACCUGACUCACCUCAGCAUUAUCUGAGGGAAAGCGCACAUGGAGGCCCACCUCAAUCGGCUUGGUUCUGGGAUGUGUCUGUCAGCAUUUUCUUGAUUGCUCAUUGUUGUAGGAGGCCCAGGCACUAUUGGCCAUGCACUCCCUGGCAGUGGCCUUGGCUGUCUGUAUAAGAAAGGCCAAGUGUGGGCCUAGGAGCAAGCCAGUCAUUUGUGGUGUUUGCGUUGGUUCCUUCUUGAGUUUCUAACCCGACUUCCCCCUGAUGCUGAGCUGUACACUGAACGAUUAAAUAAACCCUUUCCUCCCUGA